GAUGAACGCUGACAGAAUGCUUAACACAUCAGCAAGUGAUUGGUGGCGGACGGGUGCGUAACGCGUAAAGAACUUACCUCACAGUUAGGGACAACAUUUGGAAACGAAUGCUAAUACCUAAUACUGUGGGAGAGCUUUGCGUCCCAUUAGCUAGUUGGAGAGGUAACGGCUCACCAAGGCGAUGAUGGGUAGCCGGACUGAGAGGGUGAUCGGCCACAAGGUGAUACGGACAGGGCCAUUACGGAUACGUGAGGAAUGAGCGAGAGACAUUGGAAGACGGGCCGAAGUCUGAUGAAGGAAUUCUGUUUGUACGAUGAAGUUUUCGGAAUGAAAAGUGCUUUCAGUUUGGAAGCGGUACCAACAGAAGAAGUGACGGCUAACUACGUGCCAGCAGCCGCGGUAAUAC
rnacentral:rRNA from 1 species